UUAUUUAUUUAUUUUCCUGGCUUAACCUAUGAACAGGGACCUGGUCUGGUAGAAGUGGUGGCACUCAGUUCAGGAGCUUGAAGUAGCAGAAUGAGGAAGAAAUUGAACUUUUUGUGGCUCUGAAACUAUUUUCAGAGAAUGGUCUAUGAUAGUUCAUGAAAUACUUAAAGGACCUCUGGAAUGGAGAAACCAUCCUGCAUUGUCAGGGGAGCUUGAAUUACAGGAAGCUGUGUGUGUAUCCGAAUACUCUUAUUGCCCUACACCUGUGACAUGCCUCCUUGGAGGUCAGGUGCAGCCUAGGAAGAGUCAUGAGGGAGCUGUUUCUGCCUGUCCUGCAGCUCCCAUGGGACUUCAGGUGCAUGCCCUGGGCCCAAGGGAAAGGGCCACUGCAAUCCAUUCUCCUGUCCCAGCAGAGGGCCAGCUAUGCAGCCUGACCAGGAAGUACUGCUGA
rnacentral:lncRNA from 1 species